GGCGAGCGGGAGAGGGGAGAGGAGAAAAUUAAUACCCAAACAGCCAAGAAGUACCGAGGGGGAGAUUUCUUCUCGUAAAUAAAAGAGGCGGCGAUUGCAAACAAGUCUCCGGCAGGAGAAAGCAGGCUGGGGAGCCGGCUCCCCUCCCCCUCUCGCCACCAACACCCCUCCCCCCCCUUUUUUGGUUAUCUCCCUGGCCCGGCGUCCCACCACUGACUCAGAGAGAGGGGGUGGAAGGAGGAGGAGAAAGAACUCGCGGGGGCUCUGGCGCCUGGGCAGAAGGAGGCAGGAGGAGAGCGGGGAGGCGAGAGCGCACGGCGGUGGAGAGCCCCUCGAUCAAUUUUCAUGCAAGAAUCAUUAUCGGUAAAUUGGAAAGCUGGCUGCCUGACAGCAGAUUUGUCUCCCCUAAUGAAAGCGAAAGGGUAGGGGCGCAGCGGCGGGCGGCUGAAGGCGGCGGCGGCGGCGGCUCCUUCCGUCUCUACGCGGCAUCUUCCAACAGCUCCAUGCUUCGCAGGGCGAUAAUAAUAGUUUCACUUGCGAGCUUCCCCCCGCGCGGCCGCCGAGCCGGGCGGCAGAUCCAUGCGGACGGGGAGCGGGGCGCAGGAAGCCGGGCUCGCCUCUCCAAACCCGGGGAGGGUGCCGCUGCCGAAGGCAGGGUGCUCCCCUUCGCUCCGAAGCGGGGGCCGUUUGCAAACAGUGGGCGGCUGCGGGCGCCGCUGGCCCCCCCUCCGGCUGCCCAACUCCGCGCUCUGGCCGCCCGCCCGCCCGCCCGUCCGUCCUCCCUCCCUCCCCCCCCACGACUGACAGCUGCGGGAGCCGGGAGUUCGCCCUCCGCCAGGACCCGGGAGGAGAAUCCCCAAACCGUGACCCGGAGACUCGGGGCCGCCUUUUGUGGAACCCACGCGGGGUUGCGGCAACGCACACGCCGGCCGGCCCUGAUACAAUCAUGGUUUGAGGAACAGACCUGAGCCCGCAGGUACACACGGCGGGGCACCGCGCUCACACCAGGCUUGGGUUCCUGCCAACGCUCUCCAACCACUGCGUAAAUCAGGGGUCCCCAGCGGCAGCCCCGGGGUCCCUGCUAAAUGCAGCGGCUUCAAAUGACAGUUGAACUCCCGGAAUACGAUACCCUAGAGAAAAGCUACGGAGGGCAAAUUGGAGGAGAUGGGGGAGUGGGGGCAGCGGCGUGCCUUUUGACCUCUCCAAGCCACUUGCCAAACCCUCGCCUACCCCGCCAGAAAAAUUCUUAAAUGAGCUGGGCGGAGCGCUCGGAGCCAAGGGAGGGGUGGCGCUCUUCCCCGCCGCCGCCAGCAGCUCGGUGGCUGCGGCGUGCUGGCGGCCGCCUUCCUCCGGGGCUCGACCGCCGGGGUGCGAGGAGCGUCUUUGAGUCCCCAAGCUCGCUGCUGCGCCCCGCCUGGCGCCCCCUCCCAGCGGGCGGCCUAGCGCACGCGGGCGCAGGGGAGGGCGCCAGAGCUGCUGACCUGUAGGAAACCGGCCGCUCGGGGCCGCCCGCGCCCGCCGCCAACCUCUGGCUGCUCCGCCCCGCGCUG
rnacentral:lncRNA from 1 species